rnacentral:piRNA from 1 species
UGAGCUUAUGGAUGCUUACGUGGUAC